rnacentral:rRNA from 1 species
AGUGAACGCUGGCGGCGUGGAUUAGGCAUGCAAGUCGAGCGAUCCUAAAUAAUGAAUUGUUUGAAAUUGCGGAAGUCCCGAGUAAUCGGGAUGGAAGUAAUGGAUGACAGCUAGUUUUUUAGGAUAGCGGCAAAAGGGUGAGUAACACGUGGGUGAUUUAUCUUAAGAUGAGGGAUAGCUUUGAGAAAUCGGAGGUAAGACCUCGUACACCCUUGACAUCUUUGAUGUCAAGGGGAAAGGCGGCUUAGUUCGAUUUAUCGGAAUGCUGCUGUCUUAUGAGAAGCCCGCGUCUUAUCAGCUUGUUGGUAGGGUAACGGCCUACCAAGGCGAUGACGAGUAGCUGGCAUUAGUGUGUGGUCAGCCACACCGGGACUGAGACACUGCCCGGACUCCUACGGGAGGCUGCAGUCGAGAAUAUUUCCCAAUGCCCGAAAGGGUGAGGAUGCGACGCCGCGUGGGGGAUGAAGGUUUUCGGAUUGUAAACCCCUUUUGUCAGGGAAGAAAAACCGGCGGCGAAUAACUGCCGGCGUUGACGUUACCUGACGAAUAAGUCACGGCUAACUCCGUGCCAGCAGCCGCGGUAAUACGGAGGUGGCUAGCGUUACUCGGUGUUAUUGGGUGUAAAGGGUCCGCAGGCGGCUGGAUAAGUAAGAGGUGAAAUCUCCCGGCUUAACUGGGAAACUGCCCCUUAUACUGUCUAGCUAGAGGGUAAGAGAGGAAAGCGGAACUGCCGGUGUAAGGGUGAAAUCUGUGGAUAUCGGCAGGAACGCCAGUGGCGAAGGCGGCUUUCUGGCUUAUUUCUGACGCUCAGGGACGAAAGCUAAGGUAGCAAACAGGAUUAGAUACCCUGGUAGUCUUAGCUGUAAACGAUGGGCACUGGGUGUUUGGGCGUAUGCCUGGGCGCCGAAGCUAACGCGUUAAGUGCCCCACCUGGGGACUACGGCCGCAAGGCUAAAACUCAAAGGAAUUGACGG